rnacentral:rRNA from 1 species
GACGAACGCUGGCGGCGUGCCUAAUACAUGCAAGUAGGACGCAGUUGCGAACGGGUGAGUAACGCGUAGGUAACUACCUAUUAGUGGGGGAUAACUAUUGGAAACGAUAGCUAAUACCGCAUACUAGUAGAUGGACCUGCGUUGUAUUAGCUAGUAGGUAGGGUAAUGGCCUACCUAGGCAACGAUACAUAGCCGACCUGGGGGGGUGAUCGGCCAAACUGGGACUGGGGAAAGGCCCAGCAUCCUACGGGGGGCAGCAGUAGGGAAUCUUCGGCAAUGGGGGGAACCCUGACCGAGCAACGCCGCGUGGUUGAAGAAGGUUUUCGGGUCGUGAAGCUCUGUUGUUAAGGAAGCGGUACUUAACCAGAAAGGAACGGCUAACUACGUGCCAGCAGCCGCGGUAAUUC